GUUAAACGUCACUGAUCUGUAUGCUGUUUUUAAACCAGAAUACGCCCUGGAGAUCCUGGUCUUCCUGGUGGUCCUGGAUCUCCCUAGAAGAGCAAGUAGAGUGACAUGCCAGUCCUGGAGCCCCUGGUGACCCUGUUUGACCAUCCGGAC